rnacentral:lncRNA from 1 species
UUUUCAUUUUGGGUUGUCCCAUUAAAAGUGGCCACUUUCUAAAAAUAGUAAUAUUAGUAUUUAAUUAAGCUCACUUAAUUAAAAUUAGGAUUGUCUAAUUAAAUCCCAUUUAUUUACCUCUCUCACUCACCUCUCUCUCAUUUCUCUCUCACUUAUCAUUCACCACACUCAACACCAUCGACGCCGCCUCCUUCUUCCCCGGCGAAGAGCACCGCCGUCAGCCACGACCGCCGGCCACCCCUUGCGGCGUCGCCUGUCACCUUCUCGACGCUCUCUCUCUCUCGUCUCUCACCUCUUCUCCCUCAGAAAACACAACACCCUCGCCUGUCACCUUCUCAACUCCCUCUCUCGUCUCUCACCUCGUCGGCGGCGAGGGUUUGCACUGGUUUGGCCGUCGGAAGUCGACGAAUCGGAGGGCGGCGCGGGUUAGCUCUUUGCCGCCGCCGCCGAUUUGGGGCUAGGGCUUUUCCGCCGAUUUGGG